ACUUCCGGCUUGCUCGGCCAAGAUGGCAGCGGCAGUGCCGCUCGCAGCCCUUCCGCUUCCUCCUAGACUGGCGGCGUGCAAUGGCUCCUGCAGGUGCAGGCGCCGCGGGGAGUGUGUGCGUGUGCCUGGGGGAAACGCUGCAAGCAGCCAUUCCGGGUGGGGAAGCUCCUCUGUUCAAGAAAUAGCACAGAACCGAGUCCGGGCAUAUUCUUUUAGUAAGUGAUUAUGCCUGCACAUAGACAAGGCUGGAAUGGUGAGUUAGAAGAGAAGGGCCCCAACAGGAGACUAGGGAAAAUAAAAAUUUUCUGGACAAUGAAGAAAAGACUGCAGUCUUUGUCUGCGGCCUCGGGGGCAUGUGGAGAGGGUGCUUAUUACAGUGCGGAACAGGUUCUUGGAGUCAGUGUGAAAUGCUAUUCAGCGGUUAAUUGCAAGCCAUGCAGCAGAUCCAGCUCAAAUGAAGGAGAGAAAGAGCUUUGUCUGUCCUCAGAGCCCAAUGCAGACCGUAGCCCAGUGCUGUCAGAGCGGAAUGGGCAAAGCAUGAGGCUCUGGGCCUGUUUGCGUGGCUAUGAAGAGGCAGGAUGGCCAGGCGAAUGAUUUGAUCUGACUUGGGUAAUGAAAAUUGUUUGUUGCUGUUUGAAGAGCAAUUGUGUAAGCAACAGUACUUCUGUGUUUGGCUGCCUGUGACUCACCACUGACUGUAACAUAACCCCAAACUCAGAGGAGGCACAGGCUGUGGGCGUGGAGGAGGGGAGAGGAGGGAUGCAGGGCAGAGGCCCCUUCUCAUUCACCCUUUCUUCCCUCCUCACUGUCCCAGUCCCUCUCCAAACCUCUAAGGAACGUUCACGAGAAGGCGUUUGCCACCUGGACACAAUGAGGCCUCGUUGGAGGGACAAGCGAGAAGCUGGCUGGGAGCCAGAGGCCCGGUUUGAAUGGCUGUUGCCAAGGGGCUGCCAACAGUCCAUCUCAACCCCCAAGAGGCUGACCCAGGAUGGGGUGGGGGCCACCCCUCCCCACCUUGGAGGCCACAACUCACACCAUUUGUGGGCCAGGCCGUGAUCAGAAUGUGCGGGGACAAGGUGGCUUUGAGUGGCUGAGCAGAGCCUCUCCCCCUCUGCUGGCUCCGGCCUCACUUGGAUUAGAGCCUGCUCAGGGAGUCCCUUUGUUGGCUGCUUGUUAUUCCACAUGCACUGAGCACUGCGCAUUCAUCUUUAUUAGUUCUAAUUGCUUCCCCAUUCUAAUGGGAUCUUGAUAUUCCCAUACAAUUGAAAGGAAAUGUAUUCAUUAAAAUAAUUCUUCUA
rnacentral:lncRNA from 1 species